AGAUUAAGUUAUUAAGGGCGCACGGUGGAUGCCUUGGCACUAGAAGCCGAUGAAGGACGUUACUAACGACGAUAUGCUUUGGGGAGCUGUAAGUAAGCUUUGAUCCAGAGAUUUCCGAAUGGGGAAACCCAGCAUGAGUUAUGUCAUGUUAUCGAUAUGUGAAUACAUAGCAUAUCAGAAGGCACACCCGGAGAACUGAAACAUCUUAGUACCCGGAGGAAGAGAAAGAAAAUUCGAUUCCCUUAGUAGCGGCGAGCGAAACGGGAAGAGCCCAAACCAACAAGCUUGCUUGUUGGGGUUGUAGGACACUCUAUACGGAGUUACAAAGGACGACAUUAGACGAAUCAUCUGGAAAGAUGAAUCAAAGAAGGUAAUAAUCCUGUAGUCGAAAAUGUUGUCUCUCUUGAGUGGAUCCUGAGUACGACGGAGCACGUGAAAUUCCGUCGGAAUCUGGGAGGACCAUCUCCUAAGGCUAAAUACUCUCUAGUGACCGAUAGUGAACCAGUACCGUGAGGGAAAGGUGAAAAGCACCCCGGAAGGGGAGUGAAAUAGAACCUGAAACCGUGUGCUUACAAGUAGUCAGAGCCCGUUAAUGGGUGAUGGCGUGCCUUUUGUAGAAUGAACCGGCGAGUUACGAUUUGAUGCAAGGUUAAGCAGUAAAUGUGGAGCCGUAGCGAAAGCGAGUCUGAAUAGGGCGUUUAGUAUUUGGUCGUAGACCCGAAACCAGGUGAUCUACCCUUGGUCAGGUUGAAGUUCAGGUAACACUGAAUGGAGGACCGAACCGACUUACGUUGAAAAGUGAGCGGAUGAACUGAGGGUAGCGGAGAAAUUCCAAUCGAACCUGGAGAUAGCUGGUUCUCUCCGAAAUAGCUUUAGGGCUAGCCUCAAGUGAUGAUUAUUGGAGGUAGAGCACUGUUUGGACGAGGGGCCCCUCUCGGGUUACCGAAUUCAGACAAACUCCGAAUGCCAAUUAAUUUAACUUGGGAGUCAGAACAUGGGUGAUAAGGUCCGUGUUCGAAAGGGAAACAGCCCAGACCACCAGCUAAGGUCCCAAAAUAUAUGUUAAGUGGAAAAGGAUGUGGCGUUGCCCAGACAACUAGGAUGUUGGCUUAGAAGCAGCCAUCAUUUAAAGAGUGCGUAAUAGCUCACUAGUCGAGUGACACUGCGCCGAAAAUGUACCGGGGCUAAACAUAUUACCGAAGCUGUGGAUUGUCCUUUGGACAAUGGUAGGAGAGCGUUCUAAGGGCGUUGAAGCAUGAUCGUAAGGACAUGUGGAGCGCUUAGAAGUGAGAAUGCCGGUGUGAGUAGCGAAAGACGGGUGAGAAUCCCGUCCACCGAUUGACUAAGGUUUCCAGAGGAAGGCUCGUCCGCUCUGGGUUAGUCGGGUCCUAAGCUGAGGCCGACAGGCGUAGGCGAUGGAUAACAGGUUGAUAUUCCUGUACCACCUAUAAUCGUUUUAAUCGAUGGGGGGGACNNNNNNNNNNNNNNNNNNNNNNNNNNNNNNNNNNNNNNNNNNNNNNNNNNNNNNNNNNNNNNNNNNNNNNNNNNNNNNNNNNNNNNNNNNNNNNNNNGGGGGGACGCAGUAGGAUAGGCGAAGCGUGCGAUUGGAUUGCACGUCUAAGCAGUAAGGCUGAGUAUUAGGCAAAUCCGGUACUCGUUAAGGCUGAGCUGUGAUGGGGAGAAGACAUUGUGUCUUCGAGUCGUUGAUUUCACACUGCCGAGAAAAGCCUCUAGAUAGAAAAUAGGUGCCCGUACCGCAAACCGACACAGGUAGUCAAGAUGAGAAUUCUAAGGUGAGCGAGCGAACUCUCGUUAAGGAACUCGGCAAAAUGACCCCGUAACUUCGGGAGAAGGGGUGCUCUUUAGGGUUAACGCCCAGAAGAGCCGCAGUGAAUAGGCCCAAGCGACUGUUUAUCAAAAACACAGGUCUCUGCUAAACCGUAAGGUGAUGUAUAGGGGCUGACGCCUGCCCGGUGCUGGAAGGUUAAGAGGAGUGGUUAGCUUCUGCGAAGCUACGAAUCGAAGCCCCAGUAAACGGCGGCCGUAACUAUAACGGUCCUAAGGUAGCGAAAUUCCUUGUCGGGUAAGUUCCGACCCGCACGAAAGGCGUAACGAUUUGGGCACUGUCUCAACGAGAGACUCGGUGAAAUCAUAGUACCUGUGAAGAUGCAGGUUACCCGCGACAGGACGGAAAGACCCCGUGGAGCUUUACUGUAGCCUGAUAUUGAAAUUCGGCACAGCUUGUACAGGAUAGGUAGGAGCCUUUGAAACGUGAGCGCUAGCUUACGUGGAGGCGCUGGUGGGAUACUACCCUAGCUGUGUUGGCUUUCUAACCCGCACCACUUAUCGUGGUGGGAGACAGUGUCAGGCGGGCAGUUUGACUGGGGCGGUCGCCUCCUAAAAGGUAACGGAGGCGCUCAAAGGUUCCCUCAGAAUGGUUGGAAAUCAUUCAUAGAGUGUAAAGGCAUAAGGGAGCUUGACUGCGAGACCUACAAGUCGAGCAGGGUCGAAAGACGGACUUAGUGAUCCGGUGGUUCCGCAUGGAAGGGCCAUCGCUCAACGGAUAAAAGCUACCCCGGGGAUAACAGGCUUAUCUCCCCCAAGAGUUCACAUCGACGGGGAGGUUUGGCACCUCGAUGUCGGCUCAUCGCAUCCUGGGGCUGUAGUCGGUCCCAAGGGUUGGGCUGUUCGCCCAUUAAAGCGGUACGCGAGCUGGGUUCAGAACGUCGUGAGACAGUUCGGUCCCUAUCCGUCGUGGGCGUAGGAAAUUUGAGAGGAGCUGUCCUUAGUACGAGAGGACCGGGAUGGACAUACCUCUGGUGUACCAGUUGUCGUGCCAACGGCAUAGCUGGGUAGCUAUGUGUGGACGGGAUAAGUGCUGAAAGCAUCUAAGCAUGAAGCCCCCCUCAAGAUGAGAUUUCCCAACUUCGGUUAUAAGAUCCCUCAAAGAUGAUGAGGUUAAUAGGUUCGAGGUGGAAGCAUGGUGACAUGUGGAGCUGACGAAUACUAAUCGAUCGAAGACUUAAUCAAAA
rnacentral:rRNA from 1 species